rnacentral:rRNA from 1 species
GACGAACGCUGGCGGCGUGCUUAACACAUGAAAGUCGAACGAUGAAACCUAGCUUGCUAGGUCGAUUAGUGGCGAACGGGUGAGUAACACGUGACUAACCUGCACCUUUCUUUGGGAAAACGCUCCGAAAGGAGUGCUAAUACCGGAUACUCCCACCUAGGCACAUGCCAUGGUGAGGAAAGUUUGUCGGAAAGGGAUGGAGUCGCGGCCUAUCAGCUUGUUGGUGAGGUUACGGCUCACCAAGGCGACGACGGGUAGCCGGCCUGAGAGGGCGACCGGCCACACUGGGACUGAGACACAGCCCAGACUCCUACGGGAGGCAGCAGUGGGGAAUAUUGCACAAUGGGCGCAAGCCUGAUGCAGUGACGCCGCGUGAGGGAUGAAGGUCUUCGGAUUGUAAACCUCUUUCAGUAGGGACGAAGCGAAAGUGACGGUACCUAAAGAAGAAGCACCGGCUAACUACGUGCCAGCCGCCGCAGUAA